rnacentral:rRNA from 1 species
GACGAACCACACAAACGUUAUUCGGAAUUACUGGGCUUAAAGGGUGCGUAGGCGGCGUGGAAAGUUGGGUGUGAAAUCCCUCAGCUUAACUGAGGAACAGCGCCCAAAACUACCAUGCUCGAGGGAGAUAGAGGAAUGCGGAACUUAGGGUGGAGCGGUGAAAUGCGUUGAUAUCCUAGGGAACACCGGUGGCGAAAGCGGCAUUCUGGAUCUCUUCUGACGCUGAGGCGCGAAAGCUAGGGGAGCAAACGGG